rnacentral:misc_RNA from 1 species
AACGCACAUUGCGCCCAUAAGUAUUCUUGUGGGCAUGUCUGUUCGAGCGUCAUUUCAACCUUCAGUUUUAACUGAUGUUGAAAAUUGCAGUAGAACGCAGUCUUCUAAAUAAAUUAGCAAGCGAAUGUAAAGCCCUAGUGUAGUAAAUCUUCUCACUUUGGAAUUUACCUUUGACUUUUGAAGUGUUUUAACACAAGUGUUGACCUCGAAUCAGAUAGGAAUACCCGCUGAACUUAA